rnacentral:piRNA from 6 species
UGGCUAAGAUCAAGUGUAGUAUCUGU